rnacentral:rRNA from 1 species
GCCGCGUGAGUGAAGAAGGCCUUCGGGUUGUAAAGCUCUUUCUGUCAGGGAAGAAACGGGUGAGGCUAAUAUCCUUGCCUAAUGACGGUACCUGAAGAAUAAGCACCGGCUAACUACGUGCCAGCAGCCGCGGUAAUACGUAGGGUGCAAGCGUUAAUCGGAAUUACUGGGCGUAAAGCGUGCGCAGGCGGUUGUGCAAGACAGAUGUGAAAUCCCCGGGCUCAACCUGGGAAUUGCAUUUGUGACUGCACAGCUUGAGUGUGUCAGAGGGGGGUAGAAUUCCACGUGUAGCAGUGAAAUGCGUAGAUAUGUGGAGGAAUACCGAUGGCGAAGGCAGCCCCCUGGGAUAACACUGACGCUCAUGCACGAAAGCGUGGGGAGCAAACAGGAUUAGAUACCCUGGUAGUCCACGCCCUAAACGAUGUCUACUAGUUGUCGGGUCUUAAUUGACUUGGUAACGCAGCUAACGCGUGAAGUAGACCGCCUGGGGAGUACGGUCGCAAGAUUAAAACUCAAAGGAAUUGACGGGGACCCGCACAAGCGGUGGAUGAUGUGGAUUAAUUCGAUGCAACGCGAAAAACCUUACCUACGCUUGACAUGUACGGAAUCCUGAAGAGAUUU